CUGGGUUCUACUAGGAAGUUCUCCUUCAGGGAAUCUCUCAUGAAAGCUCUGUCACUUACGUCUUUGACUCCUGAGCUGGGAAGAUGCAAACAGCUGGAGGCUGGCCAGCGGGGCUCUCCGAUGCCUCUCUUUGGUCUCUCUACGUGGUCUCUCUAGUUUGUUGGCUUCUGGAAAACCAGAAUUCUUAUGUGGUGGUUCAGGGCUCCAAAGAUGUGCAGAGAGAUGAAUGAGACAGAGAGAGGGAGCCAUGUGCCACGUGGCCUAUUAUGAUCUAGCCUCGGAACUCACACAGCAUCACUUCUGCUGCAUUCUCUUCCUGGAAGCUGUCACCAGGAGAGGGGAGACAGACCCUACUUCUUGAUGGAGGUGUGGCAAGGGUCUCUAAGACCAGGUGGGAUCAGAAAUCGUGCUGCUAACGUUUUUGGAAAAUAAGUAUGCUACACACAGUGUUGCUCGUGAACAAGUGACUUGGCACCUGGAUCUCUUUUCCACUCAGUAAAAAGAGUGAGUUGGACCCGAAGAGCUAAGAGCCUUUGUAGGUCACGCAUCUGGUGACCUUGUAAAUGAAUCCGUCCAUCUGUCACACUAGACAACAUACGACCUCUGUUCCUGACAAAUUCUCUAGAAACCACAUCCUUUACGGUGGUUGCCACGCAAUCCUAAUCUCUUUUCAACAUGUCUGAUGUGAAGACAGUGCUCUCGGAGGAUAUUGCAUAGAUGCGUAGACCUAUGGGAGCGGAAGUUUGUUCAAAUCAGUUUUUUUAAUGAUAGGAGGAUACAAUCUUAUUAAUCUAGCCUAACUCUGCCAUUUCACAGAUAAGAAGCACCAGGAAGCUCCUCCCAGAGACUGUGCUCUGCUUUCAGACAUGGUUUCUUACAGGGCAUUCUCAGUCCGUCUCAGAAGAGAUGCUUAGCACUCUCCAGGAAUGAAUACGCAUAAGGAGGACUUGGUCUUCUCUGGAUGGAACCUUGUUUAUUCAAUUCCAUACUCCACAUGGGGCUUGAGAGACUGUGAGAAGGGAUGCGAGGGGCGUGGGGCUACCAAUAAGUGGGACCUUAGUACCAGAAGCAGCGCUUUCGAGAACCUCCUAACGCAGCCAACUUCCUGGUGUGGUAACACCUGCGUUUUCAGAGCAGAGAAAAUACAGCAGCCCUACAUGUGGUUAACUGGAUACGAUCAGGACACUUCAGCUUUCAAAACCAAGUUGGACCCCAGGAACAUGCUUUUAUUUGACCUGUUCAUCGUCAUCGAUUGUCCUCUGGCUGCAGGCCUCUCUACUGCUGGGAGUCGGCUCUCGGCACGCCAAUCAGUGCACUCACUGGCAAGGAGUUUUACUUCUCAGUUAGCGCAGUUCAGCAGUGGCUGGCAGAUGCUGGCAGUGGAAUGCCACCAUGCGUGUAAGUGAUGCAGCUGCUGCCCCCACUCCUAAGGAACAGAGCCAUAGAGAGCCUCGCCUGGUCCCAGAGCUGUCCUUCUCACACUGUAUAUAGAGGAGCUGUGGACCACGGAGGCCAGUGAAGACCUUUCUCUCUUUCUUUAGACUUGGGGUUUUUAAAAUUAUUUUUAUUUUUUAAUUUUCUUAUGGAAGAUUCACCCUGAGUGAACAUCAGUGCCAAUCUUCCUCUACUUUUUAGUAUGUGGGCUGCCAGCACAGCAUGGCCACUAACAGAGUGGUGUAGGUCUGCGCCCAGGAACUGAACCCGAGCCACCAAAAAAAGCAGAGCGUGCUGAACUUAACCACUGGGCUACCCAGGCUGGCCCUUGAUCUGGGAUUUUAUAAAAGACACACCUGCCAAUUGUGGAAAGCUCAAUAGCCUGAAUGUGCCUCAAUCAAUUACCUCGCGAAGAUGCAGUACUUCAUCAUUUAUGACGCUUGUCACGACCAUCAUCGCUGUCCUUGAGUAUUAAUAUAAUGAGAGCAGUAUUAAGAAAGAGUUGAUGAGCACUGGAGCCACAUUUAUACUGCCUUGUUUUGUGACAGUUGAACAGGCUCUCUAAAGGGACAAUGGAGGAAUAAUAUGGCCCCAGAUGAUCCUGUCUGUCCUCUGUCCCUGAACGGUCAUUUUAGUAAGUUAAUUUACAAAAUGGCCAUUUGACAAAAUUUUAAACAAAAUAGUUGUAAUUUAAAGGCAUGCCUGAAAUUUGGGCUAUAGAUGGAGUCAAGUUUUUACUUCCAACGAUUCUGCGUAUGUUAGUUUUGCUUACAGUAAACACUCAAAAGAUUUUAUUAAGUGAAUGAUGUACUAAAUAUUGACUGACUAUUUGACUUUGCUCCUUGUAGGGUUGAUGCAAGGUAGACGUAAUACAAAACUCGAGCUCAGUCUUCUUAAUGUGGUGAAAAUGGCCAUUCUGUUAUUUCCAAUUUGCCAAGCGUGUUUUAUGGGCACACAGUGGGGUACACUCUGUUGGCUGUAUGUAAAAACCAUAUUUUGUUAAUUAGAGGCCUAUAAUAAACCACUCAUUUUUAUGGCAUGUGAGUCCACUUGAUUCAGAAAGCUUGGCAUCUGGCUCUGAUUAUGUCUCCUGGUGUGGCUGUGGGACUUCCUUCAUGCCUCUUCCCUCACCUGUUUGGGGAGAGUUAGGAUGGAAACUUGACUUCUGCAGAGAAAAGGUGAAAAGGGAGAUUUUGAUCAUUUUAAACAUGGUUAUACGGGAUGAACACAGCAAGAUGGACAAAUCUGCACGGCAUCAGGACCCUGUGGAAGAUUUUCAGGGCUUGCAAGAUUUGACUAUUUCUUUUUUUUUCUAUUUGUGGAAAAUAUCAAACUAUAAGCUACCUCAAAUUCUUUAUGGAAUGAGGCAGAGUAUAAAUAAAAUAUACUAUGUGUACAGGGAAGUUGGGGGAAAGUGUUAUUUCUG
ensembl:lncRNA